rnacentral:lncRNA from 1 species
UUUGGUCGGAAGCUUUUAGGCUAUUCAACAUCUUUCAUCUAGGCGUGUUACUCAACCUGCCUGCCGGUCGGUUUUUGUGGGUUCCAAGAUUGUGUUUGCUAUUAUGAAAGGGAACGAUAUCAAGCCAUAAGGCAUGCCUCGCCUAUGAAUGUGUUAUUAAUUUGUUUUGCCCGUAGGAAAAAUACUAAGCCGUAAUGAAUGCUUUGUUUCAAAUAUCACCAAUGUAUUGCAAUGACCGGAUGCGAGAACUUUACAGUUAAAUGUGCAUGAGUAGAAGCAAUUCAUGAUCGGUGACCUCGUGGAAAGUUUUCACCCGGACAACAACUCCAUGAGCUUCUUAUGGGCGGAACAUACAAUAUUGAUCGGUGUGAAAGGCGAGAUGUUAUUAUGUAAUUGUUUGUAAAUGUGUCAAGUCGUUUGAUCUUGCUUUAGUGAUAUGACGAAUUAAUUUGCAAAAAGGAAAAAUUACAAGUUUUGUCCUUUAUCUUUAUACCACUUUUCAGGCGGUGUCAUUUUUAAUGAAUGUUGACAGGCGGUGUUCUUUACUAGGUAUUUUGUUGCAAGUUUAGUCUUUUACACCCAACCC